GCCUUCGUGGUGUAAUGGUCAGCACACUCGGUGCGUAUUCGAGAGAUCCAAGUUUCAGGUUAUUCGAGAGGUCCAAGUUCGAGUCCCGGUGAGGGCA
rnacentral:tRNA from 1 species